rnacentral:lncRNA from 1 species
AGAGACUUGCACAGGAAGAAACUGAGAAAGGAGGGCCCCAGCUGCACAGUCUACAAAGGCAAGUGCACCCUGGAGUAGUGAUGCAGGCAGACAGGAUGAUGGGGACGAUUCAGAAACCAUCAGGGCUCUCUGGAAGCCAUAAGUGCAGUGAGCUAGGACUCAUGACUAGGGUUGUCCCAACCCUGAUGCUAACUCCGACUCUCACUAGUUAUGUAAUUUGGACCCAUGGCUUAAUCUCUCUGUAAGACUUACCUGCUAAAUAAAGCUAAUGAGAGUAGCUACCUCAUAGGGAGCAUUAAAUGAUCGUGUGUACAAAGCAUUUAGCACAGGACGUGGCUUAUAUUAAGUGCCCAAUAAAUGUUACUUAUUAUUAUUAAGGGUUGAAGGAAAACCGUGAGAGAGCUGUGUCCUAGGAACCAAAGGAAAAGAAAUUUCCAAGAAGAAAGUGAUGGUCCAUAGAGUCAAAUGAUGCAGGCAAAUCGAAUGAGAUAGGGAUUGAAAAUAAUUAGCAUUUUCUAUUCCCCAUGGUGUGAUGUGUUCCCUAAUUUCACCACAUACUGCACUAUCUACAGGAUUACCAAUACUCCAUGGAUUAAGGUCUGCAGAUUUGCAGAUUAGGCAAGGCUGCCUAAUUAUCUGUCCCGCCUCUGCCCACAACGAAGUCGCCCCAGCUUGUCAGUGCCACCUGGUGGCCAGAUCAGGAGAAAGCCACAUCUGGAGGAACAAAGAUUCAGGGGCCACCAUUUGGGAAAUGCUGCCAUGGAGGGCUAGUACGCACUCCACACAUCCUUUGCUCCUGACUUCCAUGGAGGGCUGGUGCGCACUCCACGCAUCCUCUGCUCCCGUCUUCCAUGAAGGGCUAGUGCGCACUCCGGCGUCCUCUGCGCCUGUCUUCCAUGGAGGGCUAGUGCGCACUGCGGCGUCCUCUGCUCCCGACUUCCAAGGAGGGCUAGUGCGCACUCCACGCGUCCUCUGCUCCCAUCUUCUAUGGAGGGCUAGUGCACACUCCUGGCAUUCUCUCCUCCCAUCUACCAUGGAGGGCUAGUACACACUCCAGGCAUUCUCUGCUCCUGUCUACCACGGAGGACUGGUGCGCACUCCACCGUCCUCUGCUCCCGUCUUCCAUGGAGGGCUAGUGCGCACUUCGACGUCCUCUGCUCCUGUCUUCUAUGGAGGGCUAGUGCGCCCUCCAGGCAUUCUCUGCUCCUGACUUCCAUGGACUGCUAGUGCGCACUCCGAUGUCCUCUGCUCCCGUCUUCCACGGAGGGCUAGUGCGCACUCCGGCGUCCUCUGCUCCUGUCUUCUAUGGAAGGAUAGUGCGCAUUCCAGGCAUUCUCUGCUCCUGACUUCCAUGGAGGACUAGUGCACGCUCCACGCGUCCCCUGCUCCCGUCUUCCAUAGAGAGCUAGUGCGCACUCCACGCUUCCUCUGCUCCUGACUUCCACUACAGACUCAGUCAAUGUCAUCUCCAGAGGAAACUGUUUCUGCAGUGUAUACAGAUUCUCACUAACCUUUAUGAACCUUUCUCUUUUACUCUUCCCUUUCUCUUUUACUCUUCCCUUUCUCUUUCUUCCAUUUGCAACCCAUAAUAAUCCUGUUGGUGGCUAUUCAUAGCAAAUAUGUUUUAGAGCUGCUAAAGAGACAUCUCUAUCAAAAGAAAAAAAAGAAAAAAAGAAAAAGUUUUAAAUGAAAAUAUGAAGACUGAAGAUCCAAGCCCACUAUUUUACCAUUCCAGAGUGCCUUCGUACAUAAAAACCACUUUCAUUAUUUCACUUGAUUCUCACUUUAUAAAUGAAGAAAAUGAGGCCCAGAGAAGGUAAGCCAGUUUACCCAAAACUGGAAUAGAAACCCAAGUCUUCAGACUCCUACCCCAGUGUUCCUUCUGCACACCAGGCAUCGAGAUCCAGGCCAAUCUGAUCUUGGCUCCUCAAAGACUGUUGAACUUGUAGACGCCCCUCCCUUGAGUUGGAAACUUACAGAACACAAUCAAGGGUCUUCCCAUAAGCCUUUAAAGUGCCCAAAUGCCUCCUUUAUAUGUCCCACAGCAAGCCUCAUCUGCCUCCUUCUCCUUCUCUAAUUCAACCUAAUUUUCUUCACUUACCA